GACGAACGCUGGCGGCGUGCUUAACACAUGCAAGUCGAACGGUAAAGCUCCAGCUUGCUUGAGUAGAUCAGUGGCGAACGGGUGAGUAACACGUGAGCAACCUGCCCCGGACUCUGGAAUAAGCGCGGGAAACGGCGUCUAAUACUGGAUACGAGAAGGGUCCGCAUGGGCACUUUCUAGAAAGUUUUUCGGUUGGGGAUGGGCUCGCGGCCUAUCAUCUUGUUGGUGAGGUAAUGGCUCACCAAGGCGACGACGGGUAGCCGGCCUGAGAGGGGGACCGGCCACACUGGGACUGAGACACGGCCCAGCCUCCUCCGGGAGGAAGAAGUGGGGAAUAUUGAACAAUGGGCGAAAGCCUGAUGAAGCGACGCCGCGUGAGGGAUGACGGCCUUCGGGUUGUAACCCUCUUUCAGCAGGGAAGAAGCGAAAGUGACGGUACCUGCAGAAGAAGCACCGGCUAACUACGUG
rnacentral:rRNA from 1 species